AAUCCGCCCUUAGAGUUUGAUCCUGGCUCAGAUUGAACGCUGGCGGCAUGCUUUACACAUGCAAGUCGAGCGGCAGCGCGGGGGCAACCCUGGCGGCGAGCGGCGAACGGGUGAGUAAUGCAUCGGAACGUAUCCUGUAGUGGGGGAUAACCCAGCGAAAGUUGGGCUAAUACCGCAUGAGCUCUGAGGAGGAAAGCGGGGGACCUGAAAGGGCCUCGCGCUGCCGGAGCGGCCGAUGUCCGAUUAGCUAGUUGGUGGGGUAAAGGCUUACCAAGGCGACGAUCGGUAGCUGGUCUGAGAGGAUGAUCAGCCACACUGGGACUGAGACACGGCCCAGACUCCUACGGGAGGCAGCAGUGGGGAAUUUUGGACAAUGGGGGCAACCCUGAUCCAGCCAUGCCGCGUGAGUGAAGAAGGCCUUCGGGUUGUAAAGCUCUUUCGGACGGAACGAAAUGGGCGGGGCUAAUACCCUUGUCCGAUGACGGUACCGUAAGAAGAAGCACCGGCUAACUACGUGCCAGCAGCCGCGGUAAUACGUAGGGUGCGAGCGUUAAUCGGAAUACUGGGCGUAAGCGUGCGCAAGCGGUUCGUAGCUGAGGUGAAUCCCGGGCUACCUGGAAUGGCUCAGACUCGAGCUAAGGCGCAAGGAG
rnacentral:rRNA from 1 species